GACGAACGCUGGCGGCGUGCUUAACACAUGCAAGUCGAACGGAAAGGCCCUGCUUUUGUGGGGUGCUCGAGUGGCGAACGGGUGAGUAACACGUGAGUAACCUGCCCUUGACUUUGGGAUAACUUCAGGAAACUGGGGCUAAUACCAGAUAGGAGCUCCUGCUGCAUGGUGGGGGUUGGAAAGUUUCGGCGGUUGGGGGUGGACUCGCCGCUUAUCAGCUUGUUGGUGGGGUAGUGGCUUACCAAGGCUUUGACGGGUAGCCGGCCUGAGAGGGUGACAGGCCAAAUUGGGACUGACAUACGGCCCAGACUCCUCAGGGAGGCAGCAGUGGGGAAUAUUGCAAAAUGGGCGGGAGUCUGAUGCAGCAACGCCGCGCGCGGGAUGACGGCCUUCGGGUUGUAAAACGCUUUAGCCUGUGCCGAAGCGUGAGUGACGGUAAUGGGUAAAGAAGCACCGGCUAACUACGUG
rnacentral:rRNA from 1 species